GUCUGUUUCUCUCCUAUUCCAUUUUCGACGAUGAAUGCCAUAGCUAGGCCCCAAGCCAAAUGAGAAUCAAUGUGGCAGUGUAACAACCAAACCCCUGGAUUAUCAGCAACGAAACGGAUGACUGCCCAUCCACCAACAGGAACAUCGAUUGUGUUCCUUACUGGUGGAUCAUUCAAGUUAAAGUUGGCAGUAUCAGUUUGAGCAUUAAAG
rnacentral:misc_RNA from 1 species